rnacentral:rRNA from 1 species
UGUAAGCGUAUACCAAAGUUGUUGCAGUUAUAACGCUCGUAGUCGGAAUUUGGCAGUUCCGGAUGUGUGCACGUCGUGUGCGCACUUCGCGGGGAUUGCUUUUGUGGUCUUGCGUAGGAUGAGGCACUUUUAUUAGUGAACGUCCUCACGCAACCACUUUUUACUGUGAGAAAAUCAGAGUGCUCAAAGCAGGCAUUUGCCGUGAAUGUAUUAGCAUGGAAUAAUAGAAUAGGACUUGGUUCUAUUUUGUUGGUUUGUUGGGACUGAGUAAUGAUUAAGAGGGACAGUUGGGGGCAUUUGUAUUUCGGUGCUAGAGGUGAAAUUCUUAGAUUACCGAAAGACAAACUGCUGCGAAAGCGUCUGCCAAGGAUGUUUUCAUUGA